UAGGGAAUCUUCCACAAUGGGCGCAAGCCUGAUGGAGCAACACCGCGUGAGUGAAGAAGGGUUUCGGCGCGUAAAGCUCUGUUGUUAAAGAAGAACACGUAUGAGAGUAACUGUUCAUACGUUGACGGUAUUUAACCAGAAAGUCACGGCUAACUACGUGCCAA
rnacentral:rRNA from 1 species